AUUCCAGCUCCAAGAGCGUAUAUUAAAGUUGUUGCAGUUAAAAAGCUCGUAGUUGGAUUUCUGGUAUAACGCGCCUGGCCCGCUUUUGUGAGUGCCGGUGCGCGUUUGCCAUCCUUCUAGAAAACGUUUCUACCUGGGCAACUGGGCCGGAUUCGCGAUCUAGAUCUUUUACUUUGAAAAAAUUAGAGUGUUUAAAGCAGGCUUUUGCUGUGAAUACAUUAGCAUGGAAUAAUAAUCUAGGACUUCGGUUCUAUUUUGUUGGUUUCUAGUACUGAAGUAAUGAUUGAUAGGGAUAGUUGGGGGUGCUAGUAUUGGCCGGCCAGAGGUGAAAUUCUUGGAUUCGGUCAAGACUAACUUAUGCGAAAGCAUUCACCAAGGAUGUCUUCAUUA
rnacentral:rRNA from 1 species